rnacentral:rRNA from 1 species
UACGGGGGGGGCAAGCGUUGUUCGGAAUUACUGGGCGUAAAGGGUCUGUAGGUGGCCAAUUAAGUCAGACGUGAAAUCCCUCAGCUUAACUGGGGAACUGCGUCUGAGACUGGAUGGCUCGAGUGCAGGAGAGGAAUGCGGAAUUCCAGGUGUAGCGGUGAAACGCGUAGAUAUCUGGAGGAACACCGGUGGCGAAGGCGGCAUUCUGGACUGCAACUGACACUGAAAGACGAAAGCCAGGGGAGCAAACGGG